GUGUCAGCCGCCGCGGUAAUACGUAGGUUGCGAGCGUUGUCCGGAUUUACUGGGCGUAAAGCGCACGCAGGCGGUUCCGAAAGUCGAAUGUGAAAGCUCCCGGCCCAACUGGGAGAGGCCGUUCGAAACUUCGGGACUUGAAGGCGGGAGAGGCAGAUGGAAUUUCCGGUGUAGCGGUAAAAUGCGUAGAUACCGGAAGGAACACCAGUGGCGAAAGCGAUCUGCUGGCCCGCCCUUGACGCUCAGGUGCGAAAGCUAGGGGAGCGACCGGGAUUAGAUACCCCCGUAGUCC
rnacentral:rRNA from 1 species